CAGUAGCCGCGGUAAUACGGAGGGUGCAAGCGUUAUCCGGAUUCACUGGGUUUAAAGGGUGCGUAGGCGGGCAGGUAAGUCAGUGGUGAAAUCUUCGAGCUUAACUCGGAAACUGCCGUUGAUACUAUCUGUCUUGAAUAACGUUGAGGUGAGCGGAAUAUGUCAUGUAGCGGUGAAAUGCUUAGAUAUGACAUAGAACACCGAUUGCGAAGGCAGCUCACUAAACGCUCAUUGACGCUGAGGCACGAAAGCGUGGGGAUCAAACAGGAUUAGAUACCCCGGUAGUCCCUGUCUCUUAUAC
rnacentral:rRNA from 1 species